GGUUAAGCGACUAAGCGUACACGGUGGAUGCCCUGGCAGUCAGAGGCGAUGAAGGACGUGCUAAUCUGCGAAAAGCGUCGGUAAGGUGAUAUGAACCGUUAUAACCGGCGAUGUCCGAAUGGGGAAACCCAGUGUGAUUCGUCACACUAUCGUUAACUGAAUACAUAGGUUAACGAGGCGAACCGGGGGAACUGAAACAUCUAAGUACCCCGAGGAAAAGAAAUCAACCGAGAUUCCCCCAGUAGCGGCGAGCGAACGGGGAGCAGCCCAGAGUCUGAAUCAGCUUGUGUGUUAGUGGAACGGUCUGGAAAGUCCGACGGUACAGGGUGAUAGUCCCGUACACCAAAAUGCACAGGUUGUGAACUCGAAGAGUAGGGCGGGACACGUGGUAUCCUGUCUGAAUAUGGGGGGACCAUCCUCCAAGGCUAAAUACUCCUGACUGACCGAUAGUGAACCAGUACCGUGAGGGAAAGGCGAAAAGAACCCCGGCGAGGGGAGUGAAAAAGAACCUGAAACCGUGUACGUACAAGCAGUGGGAGCACCUUCGGGUGUGACUGCGUACCUUUUGUAUAAUGGGUCAGCGACUUAUAUUCUGUAGCAAGGUUAACCGUAUAGGGGAGCCGCAGGGAAACCGAGUCUUAACUGGGCGUUAAGUUGCAGGGUAUAGACCCGAAACCCGGUGAUCUAGCCAUGGGCAGGUUGAAGGUUGGGUAACACUAACUGGAGGACCGAACCGACUAAUGUUGAAAAAUUAGCGGAUGACUUGUGGCUGGGGGUGAAAGGCCAAUCAAACCGGGAGAUAGCUGGUUCUCCCCGAAAGCUAUUUAGGUAGCGCCUCGUGAACUCAUCUUCGGGGGUAGAGCACUGUUUCGGCUAGGGGGUCAUCCCGACUUACCAACCCGAUGCAAACUACGAAUACCGAAGAAUGUUAUCACGGGAGACACACGGCGGGUGCUAACGUCCGUCGUGAAGAGGGAAACAACCCAGACCGCCAGCUAAGGUCCCAAAGUCAUGGUUAAGUGGGAAACGAUGUGGGAAGGCACAGACAGCCAGGAUGUUGGCUUAGAAGCAGUCAUCAUUUAAAGAAAGCGUAAUAGCUCACUGGUCGAGUCGGCCUGCGCGGAAGAUGUAACGGGGCUAAACCAUGCACCGAAGCUGCGGCAGCGACACUAUGUGUUGUUGGGUAGGGGAGCGUUCUGUAAGUCUGCGAAGGUGACCUGUGAGGGUUGCUGGAGGUAUCAGAAGUGCGAAUGCUGACAUAAGUAACGAUAAAGCGGGUGAAAAGCCCGCUCGCCGGAAGACCAAGGGUUCCUGUCCAACGUUAAUCGGGGCAGGGUGAGUCGACCCCUAAGGCGAGGCCGAAAGGCGUAGUCGAUGGGAAACAGGUUAAUAUUCCUGUACUUGGUGUUACUGCGAAGGGGGGACGGAGAAGGCUAUGUUAGCCGGGCGACGGUUGUCCCGGUUUAAGCAUGUAGGCUGAUUAUCCAGGCAAAUCCGGAUAAUCAAGGCUGAGGUGUGAUGACGAGGCACUACGGUGCUGAAGUAACAAAUGCCCUGCUUCCAGGAAAAGCCUCUAAGCAUCAGGUAACAUUAAAUCGUACCCCAAACCGACACAGGUGGUCAGGUAGAGAAUACCAAGGCGCUUGAGAGAACUCGGGUGAAGGAACUAGGCAAAAUGGUGCCGUAACUUCGGGAGAAGGCACGCUGGUGUGUAGGUGAAGUCCCUGCGGAUGGAGCUGAGACCAGUCGAAGAUACCAGCUGGCUGCAACUGUUUAUUAAAAACACAGCACUGUGCAAACACGAAAGUGGACGUAUACGGUGUGACGCCUGCCCGGUGCCGGAAGGUUAAUUGAUGGGGUUAUCCGUAAGGAGAAGCUCUUGAUCGAAGCCCCGGUAAACGGCGGCCGUAACUAUAACGGUCCUAAGGUAGCGAAAUUCCUUGUCGGGUAAGUUCCGACCUGCACGAAUGGCGUAAUGAUGGCCAGGCUGUCUCCACCCGAGACUCAGUGAAAUUGAACUCGCUGUGAAGAUGCAGUGUACCCGCGGCAAGACGGAAAGACCCCGUGAACCUUUACUAUAGCUUGACACUGAACAUUGAGCCUUGAUGUGUAGGAUAGGUGGGAGGCUUUGAAGCGUGGACGCCAGUCUGCGUGGAGCCAACCUUGAAAUACCACCCUUUAAUGUUUGAUGUUCUAACGUUGGCCCCUGACCGGGGUUGCGGACAGUGUCUGGUGGGUAGUUUGACUGGGGCGGUCUCCUCCCAAAGCGUAACGGAGGAGCACGAAGGUUAGCUAAUCCUGGUCGGACAUCAGGAGGUUAGUGCAAUGGCAUAAGCUAGCUUGACUGCGAGCGUGACGGCGCGAGCAGGUGCGAAAGCAGGUCAUAGUGAUCCGGUGGUUCUGAAUGGAAGGGCCAUCGCUCAACGGAUAAAAGGUACUCCGGGGAUAACAGGCUGAUACCGCCCAAGAGUUCAUAUCGACGGCGGUGUUUGGCACCUCGAUGUCGGCUCAUCACAUCCUGGGGCUGAAGUAGGUCCCAAGGGUAUGGCUGUUCGCCAUUUAAAGUGGUACGCGAGCUGGGUUUAGAACGUCGUGAGACAGUUCGGUCCCUAUCUGCCGUGGACGCUGGAGAAUUGAGGGGGGCUGCUCCUAGUACGAGAGGACCGGAGUGGACGCAUCACUGGUGUUCGGGUUGUCAUGCCAAUGGCACUGCCCGGUAGCUAAAUGCGGAAGAGAUAAGUGCUGAAAGCAUCUAAGCACGAAACUUGCCCCGAGAUGAGUUCUCCCUGAGACUUUAAGUCUCCUGAAGGAACGUUAAAGACGAUGACGUUGAUAGGCCGGGUGUGUAAGCGCAGCGAUGCGUUGAGCUAACCGGUACUAAUGAACCGUGAGGCUUAACCUU
rnacentral:rRNA from 1 species